CGAUAUUUGACUGCUCCGGAGUCUGGAGAGGGCUCUGUAUCAGACAAACGCUGAUAGGAUGCCUGGAGCUCCCUUCCUUUUGGGAGCCUCUGGCAGUAGCUGGUCUGGGGUGCAUGCUGUGGAGGGGACGGAGGGUCCUACCUGAUGCUGCCUCACCCCAUCCUCCAGGAGCUUUUCCGAGCUGUACACGCUGUCUCUGAAGGAACCCAGCCGCCGUGCGGCCCCAGAGCCAGAACAAGAUGAGACUGAGAAGCUGGUCACCUUGCCCGCUGCAAAGCAGCUGCUACAUUUUUGCCUGAAGGACGGUGGUAGUCCUCCGGGGCCUGGGGAUCUCACUGAGGAGAGGACAGAGUUCCUGCACAGCCACAACUCCCUGUCACCUCGCAGGUACACCCUCUGGGUCAGCCUUUUAGGACUUGGAAGCACAGCUCUAGGAAAGCAGCUCACAGCUCUUAGCCGCCCCCUACCCUCCUUAGCUCCAUGUCCGAUGAGGCUCCAGUCCUGCCCAACACCACUCCAGACCUCCUCCUCGUCACCGCUGUCACCACAUUGGCACCCGGUACUGACAGAGAGACGCCCCCUUCCCAGGACCAGUCGGGAAGCUCCAGUAGUCAUGAAGACACCAGUGACUCGGCACCAGAAUUGAGGGCCUCCAUCCUGCCCAGAACCUUGUCUCUUCGGAAUUCCAUCAGUAAAAUUAUGUCAGAAGCCGGCAGCGAGACCCUGGAGGAUGAGUGGCAGUCCAUCUCAGAGAUCGCCUCCACUUGCAACACAAUUCUGGAGUCACUGUCCCGGGAGGGUGAGGCCACUAAGGCCCAGGGGAGAGAAG
rnacentral:lncRNA from 1 species